rnacentral:lncRNA from 1 species
CAGGUCUCACUAACAGCUGAAUAGGCAGGCCUCCAUGACAACUGUUUCAGCACUGACUGAGUGGUUAAGAUAAAUAUUAAAAACUGAUGGGGCCAAUGUCCUCAUACAAAGGCUGGAAUGUAACAAAACCCACCAAGAGUUUUGCCUAGGUCUUCCCUGGGCCUUGAAGUAUGACAAGAUAACGAAGGAAUUCCUAACAGGACCCAUUUAGGAUUAAACAAGUUUUAUUGGGGGUCUAAAGGAACUCCCUAGACCUCCACAAACAAGCUUUACUGGGGACUAAAGGAACCUCCAUGAUUUAGCAGGAGACAAGAUAAGGGUAAUCACCCUGGCACCUGGACCCAUUUAGAUUAAGAAAAUUUACUAAGGCUCCAGAGGAAGGUCUUCAGUACUCAGAUUUUAGUUAUAGGUUAGAAGUUGAUUACUUGGCCGGAUGGGGUGGCUCACGCCUAUAAUCCCAACACUUUGGAAGGCCGAGGCAGGUGGAUCACCUGAGGUCGGGAGUUUGAGACCAGCCUGACCAACAUGGAGAAACCCCAUCUCUACUAAAAAUACAAAAUUAGCCUGGCAUGGUGGUGCACACCUGUAAUCCCAGCUACUUGGAAGGCUGAGGCAAGAGAAUCACUUGAACCCAGGAGGCAGAGGUUGCAGUGAGCCGAGAUCGCGCCAUUGCACUCCAGCCUGGGCAACAAGAGCAAAACUCCGUCUCAAGAAAAAAAAAAAAAAAGUUUAUUACUUAUGUCUUUAGAUGAAUGCACACUUACAUACUUACACAUAGACAUAUAGCUUAGAAGGUGUAUAAGCUCUGGAAAACUUUAUAAUUUUGAGUUGGUCUGGCAAUAUUUCCCAGCCUUCUCUCUGUACCUAGUUAUAUAAAUAAACUCCCUUCUAUCCAGUUCAUCUGCAUCUCAUUAUUGGGCCAUGAGAAUAAGCAUAAAACAAACCUUCCUUUGAUGCUGGUAUCUAAGCACCAAAAAAUAGAUACCAGCAUCAAAAGAAGGUUUGGAUACAACCUUCUUUCAUUUUGUUUGGAUACAAGGAGCUAGUUUGGGUCUGCUCCUUUAAUGUAUCUAUGCUCAUAUUUUCCUUCCUCAAUUAUAAAAUAAAGUAGAGGUGAACACUGUGGUUAGCCAUAGAUUAACCAAGAAAGCAGAAAUCAUCUCAAAUGUUCACAGCAGAAGGAAUGGAAAGCAGUGGUGGGUCCAUGAAGAGUGGAGAGGCUGAGAAUUAAACAGAGGGCUCUAAAAUAAUCCUGGGAGAUUGACGAUAGCAGGAAGUCUUUAUCAUUCUUGGGCUGGAGAGACAAAAGGAAAACAUGGAAUUACUGGCACCAAGAGGACCACUCUGGGAGACUGGAUCUCUGGUGGCCUCGAUACAAUGGGGGCUGGAGUCACAGAGAAGAUAAAGCCACUGGAGAGGCCACCUUAGGCUGAAAACAGGAGGGAGUGUCUUGAUAGCUCCCUCCCCCAAAAACCGCUCCUCACCCUGCUCUCUAAUUUUCCAUGGUUGAUAUAUUCCUGCUGCCCGUUGACUCAGUCCUUUCAGAAAUUCUCUAGAGCCUGAAAAAGUCACCCUGCCGAGGAUCAACUUCUUCACCCCAGAACAAGGCAGAGCAGAAGGAUGGAUCUGAGUGCAAACAGGUCCAGGACCAGCACACCAUAUGCCGACCUUGAGAAGGAAAUUCACUGAGCCAUUCCUUACGAGUGUUCCCAGGAGAAACAGGAAAGUGAGAAGUCAAGUCGGUCCAAGAAGAAUAAAGAGGCCAAGCCCAGUUGCAUAUCAGCAAUCUCACAGAGAGAGCUGCCUCAGUCCCUCGAGGCACAGUGACCCAUGAUAUUCAAGGUGGUGGCUCCUUUGUCAGAUGAAUUCCUGAGUGACCAUAAGCAGAGAUCUCCUAACGACCCAUGAUGGGUAGUGUGAGCAAGUAUGAACCAUCUAGUGGAGCAAGAAAUAGUGCCUAUAUAAGCACUGAGAUUUGAGGAUGGUUUGUUACCAGAGAAUUGCCUACCUUAUCCUGACUGAUAAUCAGAUGUAAUAAUAUACCUCUGACUGGUGUUGGCUCCAUCAUACACCAGGGAAACAGCUGUUGUCUAGUACUUAUAACAUGUAACUCAAAACCCCUGGUUUAAAUGAAUUCCUGAGUGCAUUAUGCAUAACAUUUGUAUAAUUGGCUUUUGUAAACAAGACAUUGCUAUAGUUCUUCACAGAAUUAUGCUAAUAUCGAUAGAUUAUUCUUCAUUUAUCUUUAUCUGUUCUGAGCGACUGAAAGAGGAAAGAUUUGUUAUGAGAACACAUAAAUACAGUAUCAUGAAAGGGAAAGAAAAAGUUCUGUUUUGCGGAAGGCAUUAGUCCCCUUUGUUAGUCAAAUGAAGAGAGACUAUUCAUUAUACUUUAAUCUUAAGGAAUCCAAGAUUGCUAAACUAAUGGAUGACAUGUGACUAAGGAAUGAAUUAGUUGAACUUUAUUCUAUGAGUUGCCACCAUGAACUGUGCAAUUAUAGCCAGGUCCUUUAAAUGCUUUGAAUGUUUUUCAUGUGCGGAUAAGAUUAUUUCAGACCUACCAGGCCUUGAAGAAGGAUCAAAGUCUUGUCAGAGCUUUUGCCUAAAAUUGAAAAUAUCAUGUUACUUGGACUAUUUAUUUAUCCCUGCACCUUGUUGCAAAAAGGAUUUUAAGUAGAUGGCAUAUUAUUAUUUUAUUAACACAUUAAAAAAAACCCAUAAGAGGAUUAUAGAGUUUUUCCCUAACCUACUUCUCAGAGUGUUUUAAGCACACUGUAGAAUUUAUUCACUCAUGAAUUUGAUACAAACUAAAGUGAAAAUCUCUUCUCUGGAACCUCAUAAUGCUUAGAAAGCAUAGUAACACGUUCGGAGAAAGAGGAAGAUCAAAUUUAGAGGAAGCUCUUGUUUGAGUUUCUGCCACAAUGAGUUUCCCAUUCUAGAUAUUAAAAUAAUAGUAUAUACCCCAAAUAAAAUACUCAAGUUUCUGUAAAUUAAGGAUUAUGACUUGAUUAUACAUAUUUUAGAUUUAGAGCAUGCAUAAAAAAAUAUCUUUUUCACCAACUAGUAGAAAAAAAUUCAAAAUAAUGUGAUGAUUUUAAUCUUCCAUGAUAUGUAAUCUAAAAUAUCAAAACAUCACUGACUUUGCAUUAUAAUUAAAUAUAAAAGGUGACUGACUUAAGCCAAAUUUAAAAAAAAAAAUUGAGACAAGGUCUGUGUCAUCAGAGGUGGUAAGCAGUAGUGCAAACACAGCUCACUGCAGCAUUGACCUCCUGGGCUCAAACUCUCCUCCCAUCUCAGCCUCCCAGGCAGCUGAGAUCACAGAUACACACCACCACACCCAGAUAAUUUUUUUUUUUAAGUAAGGACAAAAUCUCACUAUGUUGUCCAGGUUCCAAAUAAAUUUUAAGAGCCUAAUUUUAACUAUUCAAAAACUAAGCAAAUACCUGAAAAUUAUUUCUUCUGAAAAACACAUACUAAAUAAAAAUCUAUUAUACUUAUGGAUUUUCAGAGGUCUUCAUAAGUAUUAACUCAUAAAUUCUUGUGGCUUUCCCAAUUGUCACAUGUCUCCUUUCAUGAAAUAUUUUGUAAAUUUUUACUAUGGUAUUGGACAGAGCAUGAACCUCAGAAUUGCCCAAAUCUGAGUUCACCGACUUAAUCAAGCACAUAUUAAUAUAUAAUCUUGGAUAAUUUAUCAAUUUAAACUGAAGAGCUUUAUCUUCAACAUUUCUAAAUUAUGCGUGUUAUAAACAAUAAAUCAGGUUAUUCCAUUACAUUUAAUAACUAGCAACCCACACUGUGAUAAGUGUCAGUAAUGCAACAGCACGGUAAUAUAUAGGCAAAGCACCAACCAGAAAUUAAGUAUCUGUUGAAUUUCUCUCUACUCUCCUUUUCCCUCAACCAAUUCCUGAAUAAAUGUAGGGAGAAACAGGAAUGUUUUAAGAAAUCUUCUUCAACUAAUAUGAAAUAGGAUAUCUGAAGACUCAUCCUUCUGUCUUCCUAGUCUAUAGUUUGUUCCACAGCUAUUUUUGUGACUAAAGAUACUAAAAUUAGACAUUAUUUUUAUCUCUAAAUUUCAAGGCAGUUGUUAAGAACUAUGACUAAACUACCAAAAUAAAGAAACAUAGAGGAAUAAUGAACAUUGACUACAAACUAAACUGAUUGUCACAUAUUCUAUGUGGUGAUUUGAGAGACUGCUUCUCAUACACUGUAAUUCAAUGAAAAAAUAGCAUAUACAAAAUGAUUACUUAGUAAGAAAAAUUCAAACUUAAAACGAGUUGUCAAUGUGACAUGCCAUGUUAGAAAUGAAUAAUAAAAUGUGUGCCAAGGGCUAAGUAAGGCAUUUUUCCCUUUUUUUCUCUUUUAAAAAGGACUACAAAAGAGCAGUUUUUUUGGUUAAAAGAAUUAAUGAAAAUUGCUAAAUCAAUGACGCUUUCAGAAGUUCCCUGUUUUUGACAUCAGAGUCAUAUUAUAAUGCUCUAUUUCCUGUUUCCUCACCUAAACAGAAUUUUGCUUCAGGCAAUUUUUUAUCUCAACUUCUGUUUGUAGAAACCAGGGACAUUUAUUGAAUUGUUUCUGGCUGGCUAUUUGAUCGUAACAAAGCAUUUAAAUGAUACUGAUGCCCUGGCUUGAGCAACGGAGCAUCCCAGACUUUCAGUUAGUUGCACACAGCACACAUACAACUCAUUUGAGUUACAGCUAAAUGCAAUUACAGGCCUCAGAGCUAAUAUAUAGAUCACUUCUUAUUUAAGGCAAUUCACCUUUGAAUUGGUUAACCUUUAAUUGUUCAUAAAAUAAUAAGAUGGGAAACAAAGUUGCUACCCAAUAUGUUAGUUUCCCCAAAUAAACACUUAUUUAAAGGUUCAUUUGUUAAUCAAGUAUCUGGAAGUUGAAAUACAUUUUUAUGAAAGGAAAUAAAUUUUAGGUGAUGAUUAGGUUUUUAUCAAGAGCUGAAGUUUUUAAUAACGAACAGGGAGAGAUACUAUGGCAAAACAGUAAUUGAAUAAAACAUAAAUUCAAUAAAAUGAUAUGAAAAAUCAAUGUUUGACAUUUAUUGUGCAGUGCUGGCUGGGUGCAGUGGUAUGAGCCAUACCACUGUGUACAUCCUCAUCUGUCUACCAAAUAUGGCCCCCAGGCAGUUUGCUCAAGGUCACAUACUGGUGGAACAAUAAUUAGAAACAUUUUAUCAUCCUCAAUUUAAUUCUCUUUAUAUUUGACUCAGGAUAAAUGUCAAACAUUGAUUUUUCAUAUCAUUUUAUUGAAUUUAUGUUUUAUUCAAUUACUGUUUUGCCAUAGUAUCUCUCCCUGUUCAUUAUUGGUAUGAGCCAUAUCACUGCACCCAGCCAGCACUGCACAUUUUAAGUGUAUGUUCUAUGAGUUUUGAGAAAGGUAUACAUGCAUGUAACCACCUUGCUAAUCAGGAUAUAGACUAUUUCCAUCACCCUCAAGGAGUUCCCUUUUGCAUUUUGCAGUCCAUCAAUCUUCCUCUACCCCUUAGCUCAGACAACCAUGAAUCUACUUUUUGCCAUUAUAGAUUAGAUUUUCCUGUUAUAAAUUUUUAUGCAAAUAAAAUAAUAUACAAAAUACUUAUUUGUGUCUGGCUUCAUUAACAUAGGAUAAUGAUUUUGAGAUUAUUGAUGUCAAUCAGUGUUAUCGUUCAUUAUUUAUUUCAUUGUUGGAUGGUAUCCCAUUAAAUUGAUAUACCACAAUUUGCUCAUCAAUUUACUUUUCUGUUUU